CAUAUUGCUGUUUAUAGGACUGUGUUUAGUCAAUGUAUCAAAAUCCAUAAACAUAUUUGCUAUAGCUUGAGUUGGCACUGCAGUGCAGCCCUGGUUUCAGCCCAGAUGGAGUCAACAGGACACCAAUGUUGGGUUGGUGCUGAGGGCCGGGCGGCUCGGUGGGGCAGAGCUGCUGCCAGGACAGUAUGGGGUGGGGGGUGGCCGCAGUGCGAGCUGUGCUGGGCCAUGUGGGCUGCGGGCUGUGGGCUGAUGUGCCUGGAUGAGAUCUUCACCAGAGGUCUCUGCUGACCUUGACAAUUCUCCAAAAGGCAAACAAUUUAUUUCCUUGUAUUUUUUUCCUUUGUUUUGAUUUUUAGUUUGCUUUUGUUUGUCUUUCAUUUUCUUCCCCCCUUCUCUUUACCGAUGGUAAAAUGCAUGCAGGAACAUUCUCCUAUUUUUUUUUCCUAUUGCUUUCUGUCAAAAAUACAGUCCUGCAGCAUAUCCUUCAACUGAUAAUUUCAAUUUAUAAAACAAAAGAAUGCUCUGCAGCACUUUCCCAUACACGACCAACCGGUGUGGUUUUAAUCUGAAAAUGUAUGUUACCGACGGUGCAAAAUUAGUAGAUAACAAAUCAGUCUAGUAAUACUUUUUGAAUACAAUUCCAGCGUAAGAAAUACACUGCUCAAGAACAUGGCUCUCAUGCAUCACAGACCAUGUCAUUCUGUAAUGUUGGUCACACUGCAUUUCCUGAGGCUCAGUACUAUUUAAAGUACUGAGACUGUUAAAUCAAAUGUGAAUUUCACUCCCUUGUCUCAACACAGACUAUGUUUGAAGUCUGCUAAGAAUUAUUUAAAGACCUUAUCUUUGAUGCCACAUGUUAUUGAAUCAUAGAACCAUAGCAUCACCAAGGUUGGAAAAGACCUCCAGCACUGCUCAGUCCAACCAGCCACCUACCACCACUACACCAUGUCCCUCAGUACAACGUCUAAAUGUUUCUUGAACACCUCCAGUGACUCCACCACCUCCCUGGGCAGCCUGUUUCAGCACUGACCACUCAUGUCAAUUUAAGAAUUCUUUUCCUGAUACACUCCAGUCUAUACUUCCACUUUCCUUUAUUCCAGACGUGCGUUGCCAAAGUGCCAGGCAGUAGAAUUGAUUUUUCGUUUAAUUAGCCACGGGAUAUAACACAGUGUUUAUAUUGGGUUUAUAUUUUAUUCUGGACUGCAGAGGCUGUGACAGGCAAUCCAGCAUAAAGCCCAUGGAGAGCAAGCUGCCCUUCAAAAUGCUUUGAAUGAAGUAGAGUAAGGGAAUUCAAGCUGGAUCAGCUUUUUAUGUCAUAGGGAUUCGGCAUUAUUAAAUGGAUGCUUAGAGCAGCUUUUCACUGUCACUCGACAUGUCUUAGUCAGGCUCCUCUAGUUUGUUUUCUUCGUCCACAUGAACCUUGCCCUCCUCUCUGCCGGCAGUGCUUGUUUUAAGAAGUGUAGAUGCGGAUCUCGUGCCAACUCGGCCCUGGCACUUCCAUGGGGCAGAGGGGUGAUCUUCAGGAGCCUGAGGCAUGGACUUCAAAAGCCUGGAAGGAUGAUCUGCUUACCCCCAAAUUGCUCCUGCUAAGGGACCUCUGCCCCCACUGCAGCACGGCACGGGGAUGUGCAGAGCUGGGAGCGCGCUCACGGACGUGACAGAGCCAGGAAACGAGUUAAAACGCCUGGCGUCGGCUUGUGUGACUCGUCUGAGAUCCUUUCUCGACGUAAAACCUGCCAGACGUUUGCUCGUGUUAUUUGUGGAUGUAUGAUCUUAUAUACACUGAAUACACUUACCGUGUUUCAUGCAUUUAUUUGAAAAAUAUUCCAUAUAUUUCAUAUAUUUGGUGCAAUUCUAGAUCAAAAACCCUGGAUUGUGAUUGGUAUUCAUUUUCAAAACAUUCUAUUAAAUUGAGGUUCAGUAACGAUUGGCAGCAUUCCUUAUAAUCAAUUUAAAGUUAUUGUGAAUUCACCUCUGCACAAAAUAAAUACCUAAAUUAGAUGAUUGGAACACAUUAAUUAUUUUGACUAGUUUUCAGAAUAUUAUUUAAAGAAAGAAUAAAAAUGGGAACCUUAAAGAAUAUUUUGAAAAUGAUGCUUUUAGUUUGUACAUUUUAUGAUGAAAAAAAAAUACUGCACAGCUGUAGAUAAUCUUCAUUUCAACAGAGAGAUAGUGAGUGAAGCUAGCUGAGGUCUUGGCCCUCUACAUGAUCUGCAUUACUGUUAAGUCUCUCCUCAAAAGUCAAUGAUAUUCAAGGUAAGUUCAUUCUCCAUGAAUCUCCAGUAGGAUGGAGGUGGAUGAAUAGCUCAUUUGCAAGUAUUUCAAAAUGAUCUUUCAGAAUUGCAGUGAAUUACUUAGUAUUUUUGUUCCCACAGUGGCUUAUUAUCAAUGCUAUCAAUGUACAACUGCACUGAGAAUUUUCCUAUUUAUACAAGCGUUCCAAACUUUCAUUAUAAAGUGAAAAAAGUCAUCAAAGUUAACAAAUGAUCCACACUAAAUCUUACCUUUUGAAGGUCCAUCCAAAGAAGAAAUAGUAGUGUUUUAAUCUUUAUUAAUUAAAUUAAACCCAUGCUAAAACCUAGUAUGGACAUUUGCUCCAGUUUAUGUGUAUUUUAUUUCAGUUUAUUUUAUGUUGGCUUCUAUUCAAUUUAAGCUCAAUGAGCCAUUCUUACACGCAUUUAAGAGUACCCGCAUAAGGGUGAGCACGAGUUUAAUUAUAGCCAUCUAAUUAAGCCAGCAUUUUCACUGUCCAUUAGUUUUUUCUUACAUCUGCAUUUUGAGCCUUAAGUUUUUGACACUAGGAGCCUAAAGUUAAAGUCUCGAAUGCUUUGUCUGAAGCGAGCUGCUCAGUGCUGCACAUUUGCAAUUCAUGGCCUAAGCCAUUCAUUAUCCCCGCGCAGGCAAUGAGAUCUGCAAAUGUCUCAUCACCUUUGAAAAAGUGGUCAUUAUUUAGAAGUGUAAAUGAAGAUGCCAGAGGCUAACUUCAAGUCUUGCCUGAAACGAAGGCCUACAUCUUAAAUCUCCUGACGGCAAAGAUGAGUUGGACAUGUCGUAACAGGGAAAUACUACAUUUACUCUGAAAAUAACAUAUUACGUGUAUUAGAGCUGCUUUUUCUUCCAUAUUCCUCAUAUUCUCUUUUUCUUUUCUAGUUUCUUCCUAAUGCACAUUCUCCUUAAUUGUCCCUCCCUGGCUGAAAGCUGAAUCACCGAAAUUCCUGCUCAUUUGCUUCCUGCCAAAAUGAGCCAGUAUUUCCAAAGGCAGCACUUCCUUCCAGUGACUAAUAUAUUAAAAUACAGAUUUGCUUUG